rnacentral:rRNA from 1 species
AGAGUUUGAUCCUGGCUCAGAAUCAACGCUGGCGGCGUGCCUCAGACAUGCAAGUCGAACGAGAAAGUCCCCUUCGGGGGAUGAGUACAGUGGCGCACGGGUGAGUAACACGUAGGUAAUCUACCUUCGGGUGGGGAAUAACCCAGGGAAACUUGGGCUAACACCGCAUAAUGCAGCGGCACCACAUGGUGACAGUUGUUAAAGCGGGGGAUUUUAGGACCUCGCGCCUGAAGAGGAGCCUGCGGCGGAUUAGCUAGUUGGUAGGGUAACGGCUUACCAAGGCGACGAUCCGUAACCGGCCUGAGAGGGCGGUCGGUCACACUGACACUGACAUACGGGUCAGACUCCUACGGGAGGCAGCAGUCGGGAAUUUUGGGCAAUGGGCGAAAGCCUGACCCAGCAACGCCGCGUGAAGGAUGAAAUCCCUCGGGAUGUAAACUUCGCAAGAAUAGGAAGAAUUAGUAGGGGCUAAUACCCCCUAUGAUGACGGUACUAUUUGUAAGCUCCGGCUAACUCCGUGCCAGCCGCCGCGGUAAUAC